ACGUGUCUCUCUUUCCCUUUCUUCGUCUCUUUCUCUCUCUCCUGAAUCCUCGACUCCGCCUUCUUCUCUUCUCGAUGAUGAAUGGAAUCAGUGGAUAGUUUCUCUGGUGUUUUUUUUUCCUGUGUUGUAGUCUCCCAUUUAGGAUCUCAAUCAUCUGUUGUAGCCUCGGUAUGCUCAUGGGAUUGCAGAGGCCAUUCUGGGAACCACCAAUCUCUCAGUUCCCUUAAAGUAGCAGAUGAGAUAACAAUAAUCAGAUUGUUAGCAAUUAUAGUUAUGAAGAAGAAGAAGAUGAAGCUGAGGCCUUGAGUGAUGCGAUUGAAGAGUUUUCAAUGGCUUCUAAGAAGGUUGUUAGGAUCAAAGACAUCUUGCUCGACAAAGACAUCGAGCCACACUCAGUGAUACUUGAUUAUCUAAGGAAGCUAAAGUUGAUGUCUUUGAAUGUGGAUAUUCUCAAGAGUACUGAGAUAGGAAAGGCUGUUAAUGGUCUGACGAAACAUGGUUCUGAUAAAGAUGAACUUGGAAUUUAAAAGUGAACUUGGCUGAGGCAUCACCUGCGUUGAGGAAGCCAGUGUUCACCAAGGUCAGUGAGCUGAGACCAGGAACCAAUGGUCUCUCACUUAAUCAGCACGAAGAUGGUGAUGCAGAGAGGAGGAGGUCGUCGUCCCAGUGGUUCUCAGGCUCGUCAGAUGCAGAUUGCUGAAUGUCUUGUUGGUGAUAGUAGCUUGACAAAAUGAGUUCUUGCUCUACGUCGGAUUUGGCUUCUUCAAGCAUCUUGACCCAGACAUCACCACAGUUCAGAGAGGAUCUUUUAAGGAGGAGACAAGAUGAGAUUGGUCAAGUGUUGGUUCUGCUCUUCUACGAUAUAUCCAGGACAUGGUAUUCAGUUUGUCCACAGCGAUGCUAAGGUACAUCAACUUUUCCAAGAAUCAGACUAGUUUGUAUUUUUGGUUUAACCUUUUGGCUUGCGGACACACAUAGAUGCUCUGUUCAUCACUUUCUUUAAUUAUAUAUAUAUAUAUAUAUAUGUGAAUGUCUCAUUGUUUCAUGUUUGUAAUUUGACUCUCUCUAGCUUUGAUGUCCAUCUCUAGCUUUGAAUUCUCUGUUGUGAGAUAGAAAAAAUAAGAUAUAUUAUUUGGCAAGAAAUCAUUUGCUCAAGUCUUUUGGGAAUAAUCUACUUCUAAGUCAUGCUUUCAACACUCAAUUAAGCUCUAUACGUUAGCUACCUUCGAUUAUAUGUAUUUAACUGUCUAUCCCUAGUUUUAAUUGUCUAUCCCAAGUUUUGAUGUCUAUCUUUUGAGUUUGAGAAGAAGAGAACCCUUCAUAUUUUUUUUUUAAGAACCCAUAGAUAAAAGACUUGCAAUGGACCAUACAAAUAUACAUGUCUUUUAACUAAGUCUCUUAAACCUACUUUUCCAACUAAAAAUUAUUAAAAAAUGAUUAAGAACCUCUAAAUGAGUAUGUGGGAUAAUGAUGCUCUCAGAUCAAACAUCAGACCUUUUGAUGUGCCUCUUUCGGUUGCUUUCUAGCUUUACCAAUGCUCGUUGAGACCUAUUCUCUUUCCGCUUUCAGACAAGUAAUUCUCUCGGUCCCACCCAGAAAGAGACGGCUUAGCAAAAAAAAAAAGUUAGCGUCCCUGCACGAGCCUUUAUUAGUCUUGUACUGUUUUGCGGGCUCCACUGACACGUGGCGGUGCGCGAUUGGUUCGUUUUAAUAUUUGUUUUUUUUUAAAUCAGACAAAAAACUAAAAAAAAUUAAAAAAAAAUAAACAUCUCAUUUGGGGUGCUAGAGUUAAUGGUGCUUUUAUAGGUCUCCCGUGAGUAUAAGGAGUAUAUUUACUUAAAGUUAAUUUAGAAUUUUUUUUCUUUUCUAAUGUAAAUAUUUAUGGAUUCUGAUGUCUUGUUUGCAACUUGUUUACUAGCAUAUUAUCUACAGAAUCAACCGACAAAUUCUUGGUCGAGAAGUAAGUUAUAUUUGUGUAUAUAUUAUAUAUUUUAAAAUAAAUUGCUUAACACUAAUAUAUGUUUGAGUGUAUGCGUAUAAUUUUUUAACAGGUACCCCUUUAUGGACCAACGAUACUUACUCACGAUGAGGCCGUAGGUAUAUUAGAGUGGCCCCAUGUGUCAUUCAACUUUAUUGAAGGUGAUGAGGAUGCUUCUUUAACCAUCCCUCCACAUAUUGAAGUUGACGAGAACAUUAUUGGUGGGACGAAGAGAGAGAGAAAAAAAGUCUCUUGUUUUAUUUUAUUUUUUUUUUUUUCUGGUCGUUGGAGAAUGAGAGAUGGUCUUUAAUUAGGGUUUUUCCCUUCUUUUUUUUCUUCGGUUUCCACCCCCUGGGAUGCCCUAAGGGAUUCUUUAACCAUCCCUCCACAGAAAUAUGUAAUUGCUGAUGCGGAUGGACGAUACAUCUC